CAUGCAUGCAAAUUUUGCAAAAUAAGUAUGCAAUAGAAUUUAAAAAUUUUGAGAUUAAAUCUAAUUUAAUCUAAGCAUGUAUAAGAUCAAAUCUUUAUGUUAAGAUUUGAUACCUCAAGAUUCGAUCCAUAUUGAGCCCAUAGUGAGGUCCACGAUGAAAAAUAAAAUCCAACGAGAUCAAGAUCACCCCAAAUGGAGUCUGGACGGUCAAAAUAUGCAUGAGAGAAGAGGCAUGAAACUC
rnacentral:lncRNA from 1 species